AUGAACAGAGCCAGGAAGAGGUAAAACUACUUACGAAAUACAUCUCAUCUCAUAAGCAGAAACUAAUUACUAUGCUUUUCAGCUGACUUUUGCUAGAGAAUGUUGUGUGCAUGUGGCCUGUUAGGAAAGCCCUUGAUGCUUAUGUUCGUUCCUGAAAAGGAAAAUUAGAAUGGAGGGGGAGAACCCUGAAAACAACUACUUGGUGUCUUUUCAGCUUAAGUAUCUAUGAAUGCUUAUUUCAAAGCCUGCAUUGAAUUUUCUUUGCUUUAGUGUGUGUGUUUUAUUUAUAUAUUUAUUUAUUUUAAAGCAUGCUGCUGACAAUUCCGUCUAAUUUUCUUUUGACCAACUCUAAUGAUUUAUGAAGUUGGAUUUCCAAGAGCAA
rnacentral:misc_RNA from 1 species